CCCGCCGGCAAAAACAAGGGGCUACUGGAGGCACUGAAACGUUAACACCGCUCUGGGAGGCUCCUCUCUCCUCCUUAGAAAGGCAGCGGGGGCAAGGAAACAGACUGGCCCCCAAAAGCUUAAGUGAACCAGGAAAUUCGUUGGUGGCAAAGGAAUACAGCGCAAGGACUUUCUAGAUUUUUCUCUGCUCCCACAAUGGUUAGGAAAUGAUUAGCUUUCAAAACGAAAAAAAAAAAAAAAAGGCCCUCAAGGUGUUUGCAUCACUUCAGGAGGGAAAGCUUUCAGAAAAACCACCAAAUUUUGCAAGAAUUGCCAUGAAGUCGGAAGAGGUAGCAGUAGUGCUGUCUUGGAGAAAAGACUUGGCAUCGCCCACUUUUCCUCCUCCCCCACCUCCAACCCCGGGAGGCUCCAGCCCAACCACCUGCUAUGCGCACUGCCUUACUCCUCAUCGAGCUGUGGGCUGCCGAGGACAUAGAUACCAGGAUCCAAGGAAGCUGAGCCGUCCAGAUUAA
rnacentral:lncRNA from 1 species